CCUACGGGAGGCUGCAGUGAGGAAUAUUGGUCAAUGGACGAGAGUCUGAACCAGCCAAGUAGCGUGAAGGAUGACUGCCCUAUGGGUUGUAAACUUCUUUUAUAUGGGAAUAAAAUGUUCCACGUGUGGGAUUUUGUAUGUACCAUAUGAAUAAGGAUCGGCUAACUCCGUGCCAGCAGCCGCGGUAAUACGGAGGAUCCGAGCGUUAUCCGGAUUUAUUGGGUUUAACGGGAGCGUAGGUGGAUUGUUAAGGCAGUUGUGAAAGGUUGCGGCUCAACCGUAAAAUUGCAGUUGAAACUGGCAGUCUUGAGUACAGUAGAGGUGGGCGGAAUUCGUGGUGUAGCGGUGAAAUGCUUAGAUAUCACGAAGAACUCCGAUUGCGAAGGCAGCUCACUGGACUGCAACUGACACUGAGGCUCGAAAGUGUGGGUAUCAAACAGGAUUAGAUACCCUUGUAGUC
rnacentral:rRNA from 1 species